CGGUUGAUCCUGCCGGAGGACAUUGCUAUUGGGAUUCGAUUUAGCCAUGCUAGUCGAACGAGUUCAGACUCGUGGCGAAUAGCUCAGUAACACGUGGCCAAGCUCCCCUUCAGUCAGCGAUACCCUCGGGAAACUGAGGUUAACAGCUGAUACAAAACGCCAGCUGGAAUGCGGCGUUUCAGAAAGACAUCGCUGAAGGAUGCGGCUGCGGCCGAUUAGGUAGACGGUGGGGUAACGGCCCACCGUGCCAGUAAUCGGUACGGGUGAUGAGAGUCAGAGCCCGGAGACGGAAUCUGAGACAAGAUUCCGGGCCCUACGGGGCGCAGCAGGCGCGAAACCUUUACACUGCACGAAAGUGCGAUAGGGGAAUCCCAAGUGCGAGGGCAUAUUAGCCCUCGCUUUUCUCGACUCUAAGGUGGUCGAGGAAUAAGAGCUGGGCAAGACCGGUGCCAGCCGCCGCGGUAAUACCGGCAGCUCAAGUGAUGUCCCAUAUUAUUGGGCCUAAAGCGUCCGUAGCUGGCCGCGCAAGUCCGUCGGGAAAUCCACCUGCCCAACAGGUGGGCGUCCGGCGGAAACUGUGUGGCUUGGAACCGGAAGGCUCAGAGAGUACGUCCGGGGUAGGAGUGAAAUCCCGUAAUCCCGGACGGACUACCGAUGGCGAAAGCACUCUGAGAAGACGGCUUCGACAGUGAGGGACGAAAGCUCGGGUCUCAAACCGGAUUAGAUACCCGGGUAGUC
rnacentral:rRNA from 1 species